UUUACUUGAAAAAGUAUCAGGCCUAUGAAUCGUCGUCUGCUAACCACACACCAACCUUCAUUGCGUGUGAUGGUGUUUCUUCAAAAGCCCUAACAGAUGAAACCAGGCUUCAUCAGAAAAGAACGACAAAUCGAGAAUCCCGUUAUCGUCCAUAUCAGCUUGAAACCAACUACAAUACCCAACGCGGCAAGGAAAAUCAGCUGGUUGCAGCUCCUGAACCGACAAAAUCUUGUAUGGAUGCAUAUGUAACUUCUCUUUUACGAUUUUCUGACAUGGGCUGUAUGGUACUCCGGACAGUAAAGAUUUUUGACAAA